AGAGAGAGACAUGCGCGCAUAUCAAUAAGCGGAGGAAAAGAAACUAACAAGGAUUCCCUUAGUAACGGCGAGUGAAGCGGGAAGAGCUCAAAUUUGAAAUCUUCAAGGUUCUACCUUGACGAAUUGUAGUUUAUAGAAGUGUUUUCUGUUAGUGGAGUGGUAAAAGUUCUUUGGAAUAGGACAUCAUAGAGGGUGAGAAUCCCGUAUUUGGUCAUUCCUCCUAGCGUUGUGAUACACUUUCAACGAGUCGGAUUGUUUGGGAAUGCAGUCCAAAAUGGGUGGUAAAUUUCAUCUAAAGCUAAAUAUUGGCGAGAGACCGAUAGCGAACAAGUACCGUGAGGGAAAGAUGAAAGGAACUUUGAAAAGAGAGUUAAACAGUACGUGAAAUUGUCAAAAGGGAAGCGUUUGACACCAGUGUUGUUUUUCCGAAAAUCAAUUACGAAUGUUUUGUUUUUGAGGAGUUAUGACUUCAUCGGCUUGCUCCUUUCUUUACGAAACUUUCUUAAUGCACUUUUCGGUUAACAAGUCAACAUCAAUUUCUUUUGUUGUAAAAGGGUAUGAGGAAGGUGGCUUUCUUUUCGGAGAAAGUGUUUAUAGCCUUGUGCCUCUGCAAUCGGAGAGAUUGAGGUCUGCAGCGUAGAUCCUUCGGGGUUAGAUACAUUUGUGCUAAGUUAUAGCUUUUCAUAGACAACUUGUUGACUAUGUUUAGUCUUGUAGCUUACUCGCUUACGCUAUUUUACCUACGCUUAGGAUGUUGAUAGUCACAGCGUGUAC
rnacentral:rRNA from 1 species